rnacentral:RNase_P_RNA from 1 species
CGAGUAAGUCAGACAAUCGCUGCUAAUGUUUAAGCAUUAGGAGAGGAAAGUCCGAGCUUCAUAGGGCAGGGUGCUGGUUAAUGGCCAGUGGAGGCGACUCUAAGGAAAGUGCAACAGAAAUAUACCGCCUAGUUUUUAGGUAAGGAUGGAAAGGUGAGGUAAGAGCUCACCAGCAUAUAGGUGACUAUAUGGCUAUGUAAACCCCACUUGAAGCAAGACCGAAUAGAGGGAUAAAUGGAGUUGCCCGCUCCGUCCCUGGGUGUGUCGCUUGAGCUUAUCGGCAACGGUAGGCCUAGAUAGAUGAUUGUCAAAUACAGAACUCGGCUUAUAGAUUUAUCUCGAAUG